UCUUAUCACCAUUCCAGAUUGAAUAUACCCGAUCUCGUCUGAUCUCGGAAGUCAAGCAAUCUUGGGCUUGGUUAGUACUUGGAUGGGUGACCGCUUGGGAAUACCAAGUGUGAUAAGCA
rnacentral:rRNA from 1 species